UACAGAGGUCCCAAGCGUUGUUCGGAUUCAUUGGGCGUAAAGGGUGCGUAGGCGGCGCGGUAAGUCGGGUGUGAAAUCUCGGGGCUUAACUCCGAAACUGCAUUCGAUACUGCCGUGCUUGAGGACUGGAGAGGAGACUGGAAUUUACGGUGUAGCGGUGAAAUGCGUAGAUAUCGUAAGGAAGACCAGUGGCGAAGGCGGGUCUCUGGACAGUUCCUGACGCUGAGACGCGAAAGCGUGGGGAGCGAACAGG
rnacentral:rRNA from 1 species